rnacentral:rRNA from 1 species
CCUACGGGAGGCAGCAGUGGGGAAUUUUGGACAAUGGGCGCAAGCCUGAUCCAGCAAUGCCGCGUGCAGGAUGAAGGCCUUCGGGUUGUAAACUGCUUUUGUACGGAACGAAACGGUCCGCCUUAAUACGGUGGGCUAAUGACGGUACCGUAAGAAUAAGCACCGGCUAACUACGUGCCAGCAGCCGCGGUAAUACGUAGGGUGCAAGCGUUAAUCGGAAUUACUGGGCGUAAAGCGUGCGCAGGCGGUUAUAUAAGACGGAUGUGAAAUCCCCGGGCUCAACCUGGGACCUGCAUUUGUGACUGUAUAGCUAGAGUACGGUAGAGGGGGAUGGAAUUCCGCGUGUAGCAGUGAAAUGCGUAGAUAUGCGGAGGAACACCGAUGGCGAAGGCAAUCCCCUGGACCUGUACUGACGCUCAUGCACGAAAGCGUGGGGAGCAAACAGGAUUAGAUACCCUGGUAGUCCACGCCCUAAACCGAUGUCAACUGGUUGUUGGGUCUUCACUGACUCAGUAACGAGGCUAACGCGUGAAGUUGACCGCCUGGGGAGUACGGCCGCAAGGUUGAACGUUAAGGAAUUGA